GAAGUAUGAUGAUCAAAAAAAAAGCUGCUAACUUUUUAUUUAAUGGUUAAAUUCCAUUUAUACUUCU
rnacentral:tRNA from 1 species